rnacentral:tRNA from 1 species
UCCCUGGUGGUCUAGGGGUUAUGACUUGGCACUUUCACUCCAUGGCCCAGGUUCAAUUCCUGGUUGAGGAU